GCUUUUAUGACAGGUGAUAAAAUAUUGUCACAAAAGCGUUCAAAAUUUACAAAAUAUGGGCAAUAAAGAGUCGUGUUUUGACAACUGGAUUGACAAACUCUUGAUUUGUCUUUUGGGAUGUCUUGAAAUUUGCUGUUGUUGCCUUUUCGCCUCUUUGUAAAUAAUGAAAUAAAAUCUGUUUUCGCUUUUGUCGUA